CGGCGGACGGGUGAGUAACACGUGGAUAACCUACCUAUAAGACUGGGAUAACUUCGGGAAACCGGAGCUAAUACCGGAUAAUAUAUUGAACCGCAUUGUUCAAUAGUGAAAGACGGUUUUGCUGUCACUUAUAGAUGGAUCCGCGCCGCAUUAGCUAGUUGGUAAGGUAACGGCUUACCAAGGCAGCGAUGCGUAGCCGACCUGAGAGGGUGAUCGGCCACACUGGAACUUAGACACGGUCCAGACUCCUACGGGAGGCAGCAGGC
rnacentral:rRNA from 1 species